GCCUCUGUAGCUCAAUUGCUUAGUUAGAGCGUUGCACCGGAAUCGCAGGGUCGCAGGUUCGAUUCCUGUCAGGGACC